GUUAUUCACACUCAAUAUGGCGGCGCGUUCACACGCUGCGGCUUCUCUCUCUCCCGACAGAAAGGUGUUUUCGUGUUUUUUGUCUUGUGAGUCGCAGUGUUUUUGUACGUAUUCGUCGCGUCUAUC